rnacentral:tRNA from 1 species
CCCGACAUAGCUCAAUUGGUAGAGCGCACGGCUGUAGACCGUGAAGUUCCAGGUUCAAGUCCAGGUGUCGGGA